rnacentral:misc_RNA from 1 species
CAAUGUUGCAAGAGUUCCUUUUUAUGUUACAUGUUCCAACAGGUUGGCUUGUAGUGAAGUGCGAGAAUUUGAUUAUCAGGUGGGUUCUACUCGAGAUGUAGAUGUCAAAGAUGUUUAUGGUGCUAGUACCAACAAAAUGCUUCUGCAUCUGCGACUUGAGAGGUUACUGUUUGUAAGAGCUUCCAGUCCUCCAGAUCAUCUCUUUGAUGGUGCUAGAGGGAAACAGA